GCAUAGGCCUGAAAGCGCUCGAAAUGCCCACUUGCAGAUACCACCGAAAGAGUGUUUCAAACCUGCUCUAUGAAAGGGAAUGUUCAACUCUCUGACUUGAAUGCAGAUAUCACAUGACUUCUCCAGAAGGUAAACUGAGGCCCACCCAGGGAACAAACUGGACAGAGAUUACUGUACAGGAUUACUGGACAGAGUAAAUCCAUGACAGACAAAAAUAAAAACCCUGCAUCCUGAUUCCAGUUUGCCUGGAGUUUAAAAAGAGGUUCUUUAGCUUGAAUAUCCCAGAAUAGCCUCUCCUGGGCUGACCAGCUGUGAAGUGAUGUGUUGCAAGGGUUAUUUUUUUGCCUUGGCUUAACUCUUAAAAAAACACCCCAAACUCCCAAAAUCGGCCUAAAAAAAGCCAUUUCUCACAAUGUCAUCUGCUUGCCAAGUUUAAACUUAGUAUAUUACAUUAUGAACGCCUCUGGGCCUCACUCUCAGCUUACUGCGAUGCUCAGGUAUCUGAAUUGAGUUCAGAAAUCACAGUUUAUUGAAGGAAACAGAUCAUUAAGUCACUCCACUGGACUGAAGCUGUUGACGUUGUUUAUUUGGAGAAGCUGGGCAUUGACUAAUGUUCUCUUGAUUUGCGUGGAUCAGGACUAACUGGAGC
rnacentral:lncRNA from 1 species